rnacentral:rRNA from 1 species
UACGUAGGGGGCAAGCGUUGUCCGGAAUUAUUGGGCGUAAAGAGCGUGUAGGCGGUCCGGUAAGUCAGCUGUGAAAGUCAAGGGCUCAACCCUUGAAAGCCGGUUGAUACUGUCGGGCUAGAGUCCGGAAGAGGCGAGUGGAAUUCCUGGUGUAGCGGUGAAAUGCGCAGAUAUCAGGAGGAACACCGGUGGCGAAGGCGGGUCUCUGGGCCGAUACUGACGCUGAGGAGCGAAAGCGUGGGGAGCGAACAGG